rnacentral:rRNA from 1 species
UGGUAAGGUACGGUCUACCAGCGUGACGAUCGAGUAGCUGGUCUGACAGGAUGACCAGCCACACUGAGGACUGAGACACAGCCCACACUCCUACGGGAGGCAGCAGUGGGGAAUAUUGGACAAUGGGGGAAACCCUGAUCCAGCAAUGCCGCGUGUGUGAAGAAGGCCUGAGGGUUGUAAAGCUAUUUCAGUGGGGAGGAGGGAUGAUGGGUCAAGAGCUACUUAUCUGGACGUUACCCACAGAAGAAGCACCGGCUAACACCGUACCAGCAGCCGCGGUAAUACGGAGGGUGCGAGCGUUAAUCGGAAUUACUGGGCGUAAAGGGUGCGUAGGUUGUUUGAUAAGUUAUCUGUGAAAUUCCUGGGCUCAACCUGGGCAGGUCAGAUAAGACUGUUAGACUGGAGUAUGGGAGAGGGUAGUGGAAUUUCCGGUGUAGCGGUGAAAUGCGUAGAGAUCGGAAGGAACACCAGUGGCGAAGGCGGCUACCUGGCCUAAUACUGACACUGAAGCACGAAAGCGUGGGGAGCAAACACGAUUACAUACCCUGGUAGUCCACGCUGUAAACAAUGUCGACUAGCUGUUGGUCCAUAUGAAUGUGAUUAAGUGGUGAAACAACCACGAAUACAUUAUCCGCCUGGAGAAUAUGGUCACUAGAUUAAAACUCCUAGGAAUUGACCGGGGCCGCCGCCACAAUUGGACCAUGUGUUUUAUUUGGUGCAACACCAAAAACUUACCUA